rnacentral:rRNA from 1 species
GAGGGUACGUAUCGGAUCAUGGGGUAAGCGGGGUGGUGCGUGUUAGCAAGUUUUAAUCUGAGGCUCAACCCCCAGCCGCACCUUGAAGGGGCAGGCUUGAGUUCGGUAGAGGAAAGUGGAAUUCCCAGUGUAGCGGUGGAAUGCGCAGAUAUUGGGAAGAACACCAGUGGCGAAGGCGGCUUUGUGGGCCGUAACUGACGCUGAGGCGCGAAAGAUAGGGGAGCAAACAGGAUCAGAUACCCACGUAGUCUUAGCCGUAAACGAUGGGCACUAGGUGUGGGGAGAUCACUCUUUCCGUGCCGCAGCUAACGCAUUAAGUCCCCCGCAUGGGGAGUACGGCCGCAAGGCUAAAACUCAAAGGAAUGGACGGGGGCCCGCACAAGCAGCGGAGCAUGUGGCUUAAUUAGAAGCAACGCGAAGAACCUUACCUGGGCUUGACAUGCAAGUGAAGCGGCGGAAACGUCGUGGCCGAAAGGAGCUUGCACAGGUGGUGCAUGGUUGUCGUCAGCUCUUGUCGUGAGAUGUUGGGUUAAGUCCCGCAACGAGCGCAACCCUUGUCGUAUGCUGCUAACUUUUAGUUGAGGACUCAUACGAGACUGCCGGUGUCAAGCCGGAGGAAGGUGGGGACGAUGUCAUGUCAUCAUGCCCUUUAUGUCCAGGGCCGCACAUGUGCUACAAUGGCCGGUACAAGGUGGUGCGAACCCGCGAGGGUAAGAGAAUCAUAUAAAGCCGGCCCCAGUUGGGAUUGGAGGCUGCAAUUCGCCUCCAUGAAGUAGGAGGUGAUUGUUAUCGGGUAUCAGCAUGCCGCGGGGAAUACGUUCCCGGGCCUGGUACACACCGCCCGUCACACCACAAGAGUGGUAUGCACCGGAAGUCGCGGGCCUAACCCGCAAGGGAAGGAGGUCGG